UCUGUCCGCGCGGCGGUCGUUAACGGUAUUAACUGUGGUCGGAAAGGACGGGCAACCGCCAGCUUCCCUUGGUCGGCACGCUCGGAACCGAACAUCGCUCCGCCGAACUGCUCCUUCAAGAAUGCGGCAUGUGUGUAUAGUCUACAAGAGCGAUGGCAUUAGUGGGCUUGCGAGGCAUUUGCAAGAGAAAUCUGCUUAAACUUGUUGAUUUGCAGAGCGUGAAGUUUGUUGGCAUCUGCUCGUCCUUGAAAAUAGCUGGUACACCAGAUGAGAGGACAAUAGCUCAUGCAAUGUAUUCCGCCUUUCCAAUAUUAAAUACUGUAGCUGAUGACGUAGGAAAAUUGACACUGGCUCAAGACUUGGCGGUCUUAUCAAUGAAUCUUCCAAUCUUGAAGAGAGAAAGCCCAGAGGCCGCAUGGAGCUUAAAAGAUUUCUUGAACUCCGUAUAAAGAAGAGGGUUAAGAAGCAAUAUGUGAAUGGGAAGUUCCAUUUUCUCAUGGAAAAUGUUAUUGCCCACCCAGAAACUCUUGAAGAUGCUUACAGUUGCAUAAUGCUCAACUCAAGUGUUGAUGUUUCAAUGACUAAACCCAACAUAUCUUUUGUAUCCACAGCUAAGGAGCUCUAUUCAGGGAGUUUUGAUGUCAAGGCAAAUACUUACUCCAUCUCAUCAAGGGGUGCAAAGAAAGAAGUUCUCAUUCUUCCAAAUUUGAAGCUGAAAGUUGUUCAAGAAGCUAUCAGGAUAGUCCUGGAAGUUGUCUAUAGGCCUCAUUUUUCCAAGAUAUCACAUGGUUGUCGAAGUGGUAGGAGUCACUCCUCAGCACUAAAAUAUAUAUGCAAGGAGAUUUCAAACCCUGACUGGUGGUUUACAUUGCAUUUGGACAAGAAAAUGGAUGCUUCAAAUUUUGCCCAACUUGUCUCGAUUAUGGAGGAGAAGAUUGAAGAUCCCCACUUAUGUACCUUCAUCCAAGGCAUGUUUGAGGCACAUGUGCUGAAUUUGGAGUUUGGGGGCUUCCCAAAAGGUCAUGGUCUACCCCAAGAAGGUAUUUUGUCCCCUAUAUUGAUGAAUAUUUAUCUUGACCAAUUUGACCGCGAAUUUUUUAAAUUAUCGAUGAAAUAUGAAGCUCUUAGUUCUGGUUCUGAUGCUCAUCAAAGUGGAUCCCCUUCAACAUUGCGUCGUUGGUUUCAAAGACAGAUGAAAGCAAGUGAAGUAAAGAACAUUAUCAAUGGGAAAUCUGAAGCAAGUGAAGUAAAGAACAUUAUUAAUGGGAAAUCCGAACCGAGUGAAGUAAAGAACAUUACUAACGAGAAAUCUGACAUAAGAGUUUAUUGCUGUCGCGUUAUGGAUGAAAUAUUUUGUGCCGUUUCUGGAUCUGAAGACAUUGCCAAUAAUCUAAUGCAUGAGAUUAUGAGUUAUAUGCGGAAUAGUUUAUACCUGGAAGUUAACAGUCUAUCUGGAGUUUUACCAUGCGAUGGACCUCAUGGAAUUCGCUUUCUGGGUCUUCUGAUUACAAGAAGAGUGAAGGAAAGUCCGGCAGUAAGAGCCGUUCACAAGUUAAAAGAUAAGAUCAAGCUAUUUGCUUUGCAGAAGGAAAUUGCUUGGAAUGCUGGGACAAUUCGAAUUGGACGAAAGUGGUUGGCUCAUGGCUUAAAAAAGGUUAAAGAGUCAGAAAUCAGGAAUUUGGCUGAUGGAGGCUCAGUUUUAAGCCAGAUAUCUCGCUACAGGAAGGUGGGCAUGGAAACGGAUCACUGGUACAAGAAUUUGUUGAAAAUAUGGAUGCAAGAUGUAAAUGCCAAAUCUGCAGAAAGUGAGGAGAUAAUUUUAUCUAGAUACGUCGCUGAACCUUCUCUGCCUAAAGAAUUGAUUGACAGUUUCCGUGAAUUCCAAAAGCAUGUAGAUGAGUAUGUGUCUUCUGAGACUGCUUCCACUCUUGCUCUUUUGCCCAAGUCUUCCAACCCUAUCAGCACUACAGAGAUUGAGGCACCUGUUCAUAUCAUAGAAAAGCAUCUUUUACGAUAUGAGGUGACAAACUCAAGAGGAUAUGCUCGUUCUGCAAACCCACUUAUAUUACAAGAUAGUGACAAAAUUAUUGAUUGGUUUUCCGGUAUUGUUCACCGUUGCCUUAGAUGGUUUAGUGAGUGCAACAACUUCAAUGAGUUAAAGCUGGUAGUUUGUGAUCAUGCAAGAAAGUCUUGUAUCCGAACUCUGGCAUCCAAAUACCGGAUGCAUGAAGACAAGGUAGAAAAACGAUUUGAUGCAGAUUUAGGAAGAAUUCCCUUAACCCAAGAGUUGGAUCAAGAUGGGGCAAAUGAACCAUCAGAUUCUCACGUCUUUAAUAAUGAUGAGUCCCUAAUGUAUGGAAUUCUAUAUUCUGGCACCUGUUUACUAUCUCUAGCAAGAAUAACGAGCCAGUCACGACCUUGCAACUGUUUUGUUGUGGGUUGCUCAUCUAGUGCACCAAGGGUUUAUACCCUUAAUGUGAUGCAAAGGCAGAAAUUUCCAGGAUGGAAGACAGGUUUCUCUGGUUGCAUUCACCCCAGCUUGAAUAAGAGGCGGUUUGGGUUGUGUGAUGAACACUUAAGCGACUUAUAUCUGGGUCGUAUUUCUCUUCAAGCUAUCGACUUUGGAGCAUGGAAAGUGGAUUUUCAACAAAUAGACAGCGAUAAUAUUGGAGAAGAAUAGCUACGGUUACCACUGAAUGAUCAAGGAAGCAGGUAUUAUGCCUUGUAUUGCUUAAUGUGUUGGCAAAAGCUGGUUCUUCUCAUUUGCCUUUUACUGCGUCGGUCGUCUGAGAUGAGGAUAGAAAUUUAACUCCAACAAGCUUCUGCUUUGGCAUAUGUGUUAGAACCUGCAAAGUACGUCAACCAUUUCUGUGCAGAAUGAGGAUGAUUGCCUUGUGGCAAUGCUGGUUGAUCCUCUUCCACUAUUAGAUUCUUGUAUUGCAGCAAAAUUCAGUGAAAGAGGGAGAGAACAAUUACAGUUAUCUAUCUGCAUGUCGUUUCCAGCAUGCAAGAGACAACAACGACAACAACCUAGAUGAGCCUGAUGAACUUUCGAAGAAACGCACAGAAGCUAGAGAAGGCACACGUCUUCCAUCAGAGAUUCAUCCUGUUCCUGGAAGAAAAUUAGUGACAACCAUUUAUCUCUAGUUUACAUGGCUAGCAAGAUCAUCAAGACCCUUACUUAAGGAUGAAGCCAUCUACAUGCACUCCCGCACGGUCAUAUAUUUUGAGGAAGUACUGGAUCGUGCUGCUUAACAUGUUUCACUGUAGCCAAACGCUCAUCGACGCUGGCACUCUGUCUAGAUUCUCGAGAACCAAAUUGAUCGGUGGUUAUUCAUGAAUCUUUUUGAUCGUUUCCAUCAGAAUUUGAUGCCUCGUUCUCCAGCAUCUCCGAGGGAAUUCUUAUAAUGGGUAGCUGCACAGUUGUACAGUUGUGUCAUCUUCUCAAUCAAUUUGGUUUAUCAGUUCUCACUUUCCUCUUCAUUUAAGAGCCUAAAUAGUCCUAUUUCUUUGAGAUAGCUAUUUAUGCCAAUUUACUUCUUAGUAAUAUACAGAACACUCUACACGAUAAAGUUUUGACUUCUUUCAACCGUUUUCUCCCUUUUCAUCUACUGAUUGUUACCCUGAAGAAUGUUAGAGUAGCAAUGUAAAGUUGCAAAUGAAAGGGAGAGCUGAUGGAUUAUAUUGUACA